AUUGAACGCUGGCGGCAGGCCUAACACAUGCAAGUCGAGCGGAUGAAAGGAGCUUGCUCCUGGAUUCAGCGGCGGACGGGUGAGUAAUGCCUAGGAAUCUGCCUGGUAGUGGGGGACAACGUUUCGACAGGAACGCUAAUACCGCAUACGUCCUACGGGGGAAAGCAGGGGACCUUCGGGCCUUGCGCUAUCAGAUGAGCCUAGGUCGGAUUAGCUAGUUGGCGAGGUAAUGGCUCACCAAGGCGACGAUCCGUAACUGGUCUGAGAGGAUGAUCAGUCACACUGGAACUGAGACACGGUCCAGACUCCUACGGGAGGAAGCAGUGGGGAAUAUUGGACAAUGGGAGAAAGCCUGAUCCAGCCAUGCCGCGUGUGUGAAGAAGGUCUUCGGAUUGUAAAGCACUUUAAGUUGGGAGGAAGGGUUGUAGAUUAAUACUCUGCAAUUUUGACGUUACCGACAGAAUAAGCACCGGCUAACUCUGUGCCAGCCGCCGCAGUAAGAC
rnacentral:rRNA from 1 species